UGUUGGCAUCUCAUUUAAGCUGUGAGGAGAGGCGGGCGUGGCCUCUCUCCAGGGGCCGGACCAAGCCCCUCGGAGGGGCACCUCGAUCGGCUCCGUGUGCUGCUCAGCUUGCUUUGAAUCACGCUUCCCUGGCAGUCACGUGGAUCACCGAUCGCGUUUAAUACUGUUUAUGCAUCCCCGAUUGCCGCCCGCCGACCGGAGACUACGUCUGUGUUGCCAUCCAGAGUUCUCUGGGAAAGGACUCGGUCCAAGAUGUCAGUGACGCCAGAAUUUCUACAGUGUACUUCCGACGCGUGAUUUUCUGGCCAGGACCCGAGAAUUACCAGGAGGUUGUAGAGGGAGACUCUAGAAUUCUGUGCCAAAAAAAAAAAAAAACACAACACAUUUUUUUACUUGAGCCCAAGGUGCUAACAGGACAUGUUUCUUAUAGAUAAAAAUAUAUAUUUGAGACAUUGCAAGGAUCCUUUGGCAACUUAGACAGUAUCACCUUCCACGUGGCCUGCAGGAAAAGCCUAGAACGUACUGAGGGGAUCCCUCCGCUGGAUUGAUUGUACGGCGUGUUGCUAGAAAGAAUGAAAUUCUCCAAUUGGACCGGAUCAUUCUCAGAAGUGGAAAUAUCCAUCAUCUGGAAGCUUUUGCGUUUGUUUUGUUUUUUAAUGCAGAACUUCUUUGAUUACACGCAGAAAUGUACAGGCUGGCCCGUCUUCACCUUUCCGAUCAUGUAUAUACUUUGUGAUUUCAAUGGAAGCUCUUCAUGAUUUGCAUAUUUGGCCUUUUUAUUUCUUCUUUCUCUUUUGUGAGCUCAUUUUAUUGUGGGGUCAUCAGACUUUCUAGAACGCCCCUCACAACUUUCCCCCCAAAUCUUGGAAAUAGUAUGAGGGGUGUGUGUGUGUGUGUGUGUCUGUGUGUCCACAAGGGUGUACAGAGAACGUGGGCGCCCCCUCCAGGUUGCUCUCUGCAGUUUUAUUUCCUCUUCAGAGCAGUCCUAUGGGUGAUGCUACCAUUUUGUAUUGAAAAUAACCUAAAGCCUAAAAAAAAGCUAUAUAAUUUAUUUUUCUGGAAUAAAGAAACUUUAGAAUAUUCAGUUAUUUUGGACCACAAUGAUAAAUCUGUGAUGUGUAUAUGGUGUGGGUGGGGGACAGCUGAAAUAUCUUACACUGACAGGCUCAGUAAAUCUGAUUGUAAACUUUAAUUUUAGCCGUAGACUGGCCGAAAGGAAGAAAGAAAGACAAUUACGAUCAAGGAAAGUCCUGAACAGAGAAAACAGGAAACAGUGAAAAGUUUUUAAAUCCUAGGUCUAGCUUCUAAGGAGACUAGCUUUUCAUUUGUUUCAUUCAUGUAUUUAAAAAUAAAAAAUGUCUUGGUUGUAUUAAAAAAAAAAAAGUAUUUUUUUGAGUAUGUAGGCUUCUCAUUUUGCUGUUGCCCAGAUUGGUAUUUAAGUAUAUGGAUUAAAACCUUUAGUCUGUACUUCAA